UGAGGAAUAUUGCACAAUGGGCGAAAGCCUGAUGCAGCAACGCCGCGUGAGGGACGAAGGCCUUCGGGUCGUAAACCUCUUUUCUGGGGGUCGAGUAAGGACGGUACUCCAGGAAUAAGUCUCGGCUAACUACGUGCCAGCAGCCGCGGUAAAACGUAGGAGGCGAGCGUUAUCCGGAUUUACUGGGCGUAAAGCGUACGCAGGUGGCUUCGUUAGUCGGACAUGAAAGCUCCUGGCUUAACUGGGAGAGGUUGUUCGAUACUGCGGGGCUUGAGGUUGGGAGAGGGACGUGGAAUUCACGGUGUAGUGGUGGAAUGCGUAGAUAUCGGGAGGAACACCAGUGGCGCAAGCGGCGUCCUGGAACACACCUGACGCUGAGGUACGAAAGCGUGGGUAGCAAACAG
rnacentral:rRNA from 1 species